AUUGAACGCUGGCGGCAUGCUUUACACAUACAAGUCGAACGGUAACAGGGUGCUUGCACCGCUGACGAGUGGCGAACGGGUGAGUAAUGCGUCGGAACGUGCCGAGUAGUGGGGGAUAACGCAGCGAAAGUUGUGCUAAUACCGCAUACGUACUGAGGUAGAAAGUGGGGGACCUUCGGGCCUCACGCUAUUCGAGCGGCCGACGUCUGAUUAGCUAGUAGGUGAGGUAAAGGCUCACCUAGGCGACGAUCAGUAGCGGGUCUGAGAGGAUGAUCCGCCACACUGGGACUGAGACACGGCCCAGACUCCUACGGGAGGCAGCAGUGGGGAAUUUUGGACAAUGGGCGAAAGCCUGAUCCAGCCAUGCCGCGUGUCUGAAGAAGGCCUUCGGGUUGUAAAGGACUUUUGUCAGGGAGGAAAUCCCUAGUGCUAAUAACACUGGGGGAUGACAGUACCUGAAGAAUAAGCACCGGCUAACUACGUGCCAGUAGCCGCCGUAA
rnacentral:rRNA from 1 species